AAGGAGAAGGAGGAGGAACAUCAAGUGCAGGGCAAGCAGCAGGUGGGGGCUUGCAGCAAAGUGAGGUGCAGCAUCUGGGGCUUGUGCUGCUGUGCUCUGCCAGCUCCUCCCCAGAGUUUUCCCCCUGGAGCUGGCUUAAAACAGAUUUCACAAGCCACUUAAGGAUCUACCUUAGGCAGCAGCCAAAAAAUGCAUAGGGGAGGAUAAGACAAGUCAAUCCAGCUGUGCCAUAGCUCCGCUGACUUCAGGUCUUGCUCCUUUGUGCUCCACGGAGGCUGGAGGUGAUCAGUUAUAGCAAGGCAGGUAUAGCAAAGCCAUCCAGACCAGGAGCUAGAUUCACUGGGUGUUUUGUAGCACUACGGGCUGCAGACCUGAAGGUAAAACGAUGCCUCCUGGGUCAGCGAGAAUUGCACAGGGGCAAGAGGAUGAUUUAAAGCAGGAGGGAAGACAAUUUCCCCAGCUAGGAAGAAAGCUUUGCCAAGUAGGAGGAAGCUGUCAGGGGACACGGGCUCCAGCAAAGGCAGCAAAGCAGUGAGCAGAGACAGGUAGCUCUGCAGGAGAACAUCGCCAGGGCUGGGACCUGCUUUUCCGUCAAGUCACCACCACUAAAUCACCCUGUUUAUGUCAAUCCCUUGCAUAUUCGUCUGUGGUCUACAGACAGCAUCUUUUCAUCGUAUGGUGACACUCUUUUUACAUAUGUUUUUAAUGCAGUGGCUGGCGUCCAGUGCAAUGCAGUUUCCAGUUUUAAUAACUGCCAACUAGAGCAUCGUAGGAGCCCAUCGAGUGCUCAGCUGAGGACCAGGAAUCAGAGAGCUGUUGUAGGAGACCUGGCUGGCAGCUUGUCCACCAGGCUGUCGUCUUCAGCCCACGAAGAGUCACCGUUGGCUCCAGUCCCUGCGGGCUGGAGGAGGGAAGCAUCAGGAGGAGAAAACCAUCAGGAGGAGAAAACCAUCAGCAGAGUCUGCCAAAGAUUCUGUGAACCUGGUUCUUCGCUGGCUGUCUGAGCUGAUCCAAGGCACUCACGGAGCUGAGAGCUACUUAUAGCUAAGCACGAUGCUCAUUCUUCUGGAAAAGAGCAAAGCUGGAGCUUUUCAGUAACCCAGCACGCCCUCGGUCUGUUUACCCCUGCUGGUUCUCUCCCCGCGGUGCUCCCGGCCACCUCCCCGUGGCAAUCUGAGCCCAGGGGAUUUCUCCUGCUCGCCUGCCGCUGUUAGAGGAGCGGGUUUUCCAUCGCGGGGGAUACGGAUGGUCCCAUGUGGGCUUGGUCACUGCUCACAAAAUACCAAAAAAAUAAUAUAAUCCUGUAUCAACCCCCUGAGUGUUUCCAUUAGCAUUUAGUCAAACUGCCUCUGGCAACCUGAAAUGUGCUCCUGGAAAACGCUCAUCAGAAAGAGACGGUUUGUAGCAGGAACAUGGAGAAUCCCAGCACCUGGGCAUUGCUUGGUACUGGGGCAAGCAGCCAGAGAAAACCCUGUCCCAGAUCAGGGGAGGAGGAAGGCAGAGGAUAUAAACGUGUGUCUGAAAGGGAGGAACACCCAGUUUAGGAGGUUCUCGUAAAUUCCCACUAGGAUACUGCGAAGACCAGCGAAGCAAAUGCUGAACCUCUAUCAGUUAACCCCACAUUUCACAGAGGUUAGGGUUCCUGAAGGAUCUUAGAAAGGGAGAACUGGGAAAUGAGGAAGAUGCAGAUCCCCCGUCUUAACCCUGACCACGAGAAAUACAAUGAAG
rnacentral:lncRNA from 1 species